rnacentral:tmRNA from 1 species
GGGGAUGUAUUGGCUUCGACGGGGACACGGAGGAUUUGAUAAGCGAGUAGAAGGAAGUCAUGGUCCUUCUUUAAACAACGAUGGCAUAAUGUAAACGCAGAAGAUAAUUUUGCACUAGCAGCUUAGUCUGCUACGUUCUACCCGGGAUGUCCGCUGCCUGGGACUAGAGCGCCGAUUAGCGGAAAAACGAGUCUGAGUAAGCUUUGCCUCAGAAACGGGAUUCAUGAAGCUACCAACUUUGGAGUCUGCACGUAACCUCCAAAGAAGGGAAAUUUGAUUACGAUGCUACACUCGUAGAAAGUCAGGUUUGACGGUUUUCGGACAGGGGUUCGACACCCCUCAUCUCCACCA